rnacentral:sRNA from 1 species
GCAGAGAAGGAGCUAGAAUCUCACAGCUCAUGGUAUGCUCCAGAGGCCCUUCAGAAGUGGCUGCAGCUGACACAUGAGGUGGAGGUGCAAUAUUACAACAUCAAGAAGCAAAAUGCUGAGAAGCAGCUGCUGGUGGCCAAGGAGGGGGCUGAGAAGAUAAAAAAGAAGAGAAACACACUCUUUGGCACCUUCCACGUGGCCCACAGCUCUUCUCUGGAUGAUGUAGAUCAUAAAAUUCUAACAGCUAAGCAAGCACUGAGCGAGGUGACAGCAGCAUUGCGGGAGCGCCUGCACCGCUGGCAACAGAUUGAGAUCCUCUGUGGCUUCCAGAUUGUCAAUAACCCUGGCAUCCACUCACUGGUGGCUGCCCUCAACAUAGACCCCAGCUGGAUGGGCAGUACACGCCCCAACCCUGCCCACUUCAUCAUGACUGACGACGUGGAUGACAUGGAUGAGGAGAUUGUGUCUCCCUUGUCCAUGCAGUGUAGGUGACCUCUUUGGGGGGAUGAAGGAAGGAGCCUUUGAUGUACAGGUUGAGAAGUCUGUGGCCUCUGUUGUGCUUAAAUAGCAGAUGGGGCAGAUACCCAGGAAGAUAGUUCAACUCAUGACCUUGGUCAAUAAAGCGCAAUUGGCUCAGGUU